GCUAUAAUGCAGUCGAGCGACAGAUAAGGAGCUUGCUCCUUUGACGUUAGCGGCGGACGGGUGAGUAACACGUGGGUAACCUACCUAUAAGACUGGAAUAACUUCGGGAAACCGAAGCUAAUGCCGGAUAACAUGUAGAACCGCAUGGUUCUACAGUGAAAGAUGGCCUUGCUAUCACUUAUAGAUGGACCCGCGCCGUAUUAGCUAGUUGGUAAGGUAACGGCUUACCAAGGCAACGAUACGUAGCCGACCUGAGAGGGUGAUCGGCCACACUGGAACUGAGACACGGUCCAGACUCCUACGGGAGGCAGCAGUAGGGAAUCUUCCGCAAUGGGCGAAAGCCUGACGGAGCAACGCCGCGUGAGUGAUGAAGGUCUUCGGAUCGUAAAGCUCUGUUAUUAGGGAAGAACAAGUGCGUAAGUAACUGUGCGCACCUUGACGGUACCUAAUCAGAAAGCCACGGCUAACUACGUGCCAGCAGCCGCGGUAAUACGUAGGUGGCAAGCGUUAUCCGGAAUUAUUGGGCGUAAAGCGCGCGUAGGCGGUUUCUUAAGUCUGAUGUGAAAGCCCACGGCUCAACCGUGGAGGGUCAUUGGAAACUGGGAGACUUGAGUGCAGAAGAGGAAAGUGGAAUUCCAUGUGUAGCGGUGAAAUGCGCAGAGAUAUGGAGGAACACCAGUGGCGAAGGCGACUUUCUGGUCUGUAACUGACGCUGAUGUGC
rnacentral:rRNA from 1 species